CCUACGGGAGGCUGCAGUGGGGAAUAUUGGACAAUGGGCGAAAGCCUGAUCCAGCCAUGCCGCGUGUGUGAAGAAGGCCUUCGGGUUGUAAAGCACUUUCAGUGGGGAAGAAAGCCUUGGGGCUAAUACCCUCGAGGAAGGACAUCACCCACAGAAGAAGCACCGGCUAACUCCGGGCCAGCAGCCGCGGUAAUACGGAGGGUGCGAGCGUUAAUCGGAAUUACUGGGCGUAAAGCGCGCGUAGGCGGUCUGAUAAGCCGGUUGUGAAAGCCCCGGGCUCAACCUGGGAACGGCAUCCGGAACUGUCAGGCUAGAGGGCAGGAGAGGAAGGUAGAAUUCCCGGUGUAGCGGUGAAAUGCGUAGAGAUCGGGAGGAAUACCAGUGGCGAAGGCGGCCUUCUGGACUGACACUGACGCUGAGGUGCGAAAGCGUGGGUAGCAAACAGGAUUAGAUACCCCGGUAGUC
rnacentral:rRNA from 1 species